ACUAGGUACAUUUAAGAGUUCUUUUAUAGGCAGAUGAAUCGGGAAGUCCGGUGCAAGUCCGGCACAGCCCCGCUACUGUAAGGGGAUACGAAAGCCAGAUUCUCAGGCAGCGGUAAAGUUUACGUGUAGUAACUACCGCUUGAGGAAAGACCACUUUCAAAAGGAAGGUCUGGCCAGUAGGUGUAAGCCCCGAGUCAGGAAACCGAAAAUCCUUCGCGGGUAAGG
rnacentral:ncRNA from 2 species